ACCGAGCGCAACUUAACCCCUAAGCACUAAGACUAUACAGUUAAAACUUAAUGGACAUGGCGGCCUUUUACAUUCAGGGGAAUUUACCGCGUAAUCGAUAACCCACGAGUUAACUAACUUUUUUUUACAGCUUAUAUACCGCCGUCUAGCCGCUACUUAAGGUGACGACUUUGUACUUUUAAGUAGCAGGACAGGUUAUGGUGUAGCCAAUAUGAAAGACGCAGGCGAGUUACAAUAUUUGUUUAAUUCAAAUUGUUGUUUGUAAUGACGAUAAGAAGAUGGACUUGAAAGUAAUUUUUAAUAGUAGUUUAAAAUGAAUAAAACCCAGAAGGUGU
rnacentral:rRNA from 1 species